AUAAUUUUUUAUUGUAUAUAAUUAUAAAAUUUUCAAAAUCAAAUGAUAUCUAUGUUAUUGAAUUGUAGCCACGUUACGUCUAACAUGGAGUAGGGUUCCAUGUGAUCACAAUCCGAUAUUGACUCGACAGUAUUCGGAUAAGUCCGGAUUCAUUCGUUUUCAUUCGUUCAUAUACAACGUUGAAAUUCUUUGCAUUAUUCUUUGUUAUCGAAAUUUCAGGUCUUUUUAUAUAUUUUUCUAUUUUUCAUCUAUAUUCUUUUUAGUGUCGAAGUUAAUCAUUCACUUUAUCGACCACACGAAAAUUGGUAUUUGUUAUACACGUGACAAUAAACGAGAAAUUCCAUUCUUUUGUUGAGAAUAGACUGAAGGAGUGAAUUAUAAAUACAUCAUUGUUAAAACAUCGUGAAAUAAAAGAUGGAAAAGUAUACAAUAGGUUAGAAACCAUGGAAUUGCAAAGGAUUAAGAAAUAUGAAAGUCAUCUUGAAGUUUUUAAAUAGCAUUUCAUAUUUUCUUUGUAGUCAGGUAAUAAUUUCAAUUCUGCAAUAAAUUAGAACAUACACGUUCAAAUAAAAUAGAAAUUAAAAUAGAUUAUUUGGCUUCCAUAAUCAUGGCAUAAUCAGG